UACUCUUUCUCUGUUUCUCUUCUGCUGAGGCUGAAGACACGCCCCUUCCGGCUGCUCGCCCUGCUGCUCUCACCGGCGUUCAAAACAUUCGGCGCGUUACUCUGCUUGGUGUUGUGUAGCCACAUUUGGGUUGCUAAAGGAAGCCAUAGCGGCUGGACCGGCUUCUGACGUGCUCUCCUUGUCCUGUGUGUGUGCGCGUCACGCUGCUGUAACAGAGAGGCUGUGUACCUGUGGUUGGGACGUGGUGUCGUCGGUGGUGGUGGUCCCCCUCCCCGUGUGAAGUGUGAACCCUGGUUUUUUUGGUUUAGUUUUGCACGUGUGUGUGAUUUAUUUAUUUUUUUCUCUUUAUUCACUUGGUGACCUCUCCCUGGGCCCUGAUCAGUGAAGCCCUAAAGCUCUAAUCUCUCAUGAAUGUAAGUAACAUUUAUUCAAUACUUCUUAUUCAUGAGCACAGUGACAUAUCGGUGUAUGUAUAUGUAUGGGCCUUGUUGUGGACAUCUCUCACCUUGAUGCGGACCUCGUUGGCCUGAGGUGGAGCCACUUCAAUCUCCUCAAUCACCAGAGGUUUGUUGGGCUCCCAGGCCACUGCCGCCUUGCACUUGAUGACCUACAGGAAUAGUGACAUCAGCAUGAUAUCUAACAUUUCUGGGUGCUGCAGGAGUUUAAGUAAGCCAGGGUGAGAAGGUGCUAUGGAACACUCCAAGCACCCACUCAAAUAACACAUAUAUUUUGAAAGAAAUUAAAGUAAAGCAUUUUGUUGCAUUAUGCUAAGUUAAGCUUAAAAACUUGACUCCCCUGAUGCUUUCAUGUCAAAGCAAACACUUAUUUAAUGGUAUCAAAGUGACUUAUUUGCAUUUUUUGGUUGCAUGUAAACAGCACAGUAGAGAGUACACUGUCUUAUGUACAGCUGGUCAGGAAAAAAACAAACAUCUUCUAAAACACAACGGUCUAAGUUCCACGUGUUAUUUGGCAAACCCUUUAUUUGAUAGUACAGUAAAAUUUAGUGUAGGGUUGGGUUGGCACAUUUAAUAUUACUGAGUAAAUGUGUUGUUACAUUUGAGUUUCUACAUUGAGUUCUUUGGCCUCCACUGUUCUCUUUUUUUUGGCAUCCUACCACUUAGUGUUGGCCAUUAUCAACAGUUGCAUAACGUUCCUUGGAUAGUUUCAAACUGUGUGUCGGGUUAAAUCAGGACAUGCUCCUGCAUUAACUGCACUAACUGGUCUCAGUGAAACGGACAUGCAUAUGCAAAAAAAUACAUGUUAAUAACAAUAUAUAAGAGCACUGAAACACUUUUGAUUGUAUUUUCAGGUAUUAGCAGGUUUAUUAGAGUUACCCAGCCACACUUUAACCACUAAAUUAGCCUCACAAGCAGCAAAAUACACUCAAGCAUUUUAUGAACACUUACAAGUCUUAUAUCUAAGUGAAUCUUUUAGUGUGAGGUUUGUUGCAUGGAUUUGUUGUACUACCUAUCUUGCUCGAGUUUACAAUAAAACACUUUGAAAAACACACUCAAACUUCACAGCUGACAUGGGUACUCACAUACAAUUUUGCACCUACCUUACCAGCUGUAGCCAUAUCUGCAGCAAUGAUAGGACUCAAAAAAUGAGAGAGGAGUUGCGAAGGACAAGAGUUGCUGGACUGCAGAAUAAAGGAGAACCGGAGACUGCUUGUAAAUUCAGGACAGUCCUCAGCCAGUCCUGCCCCUAGUUGCUCUCCGGUCCAGUCUGUUUGAUGACGCUUUUUACAUCACUGGCUUCAAAAAAUCCAAAACGGCAACCAGGAAGUAGCAAAA